rnacentral:rRNA from 2 species
GGUUAAGCGACUAAGCGUACACGGUGGAUGCCUUGGCAGUCAGAGGCGAUGAAGGACGUGCUAAUCUGCGAUAAGCGUCGGUAAGGUGAUAUGAACCGUUAUAACCGGCGAUUUCCGAAUGGGGAAACCCAGUGUGAUUCGUCACACUAUCAUUAACUGAAUCCAUAGGUUAAUGAGGCGAACCGGGGGAACUGAAACAUCUAAGUACCCCGAGGAAAAGAAAUCAACCGAGAUUCCCCCAGUAGCGGCGAGCGAACGGGGAGCAGCCCAGAGCCUGAAUCAGUGUGUGUGUUAGUGGAAGCGUCUGGAAAGGCGUGCGAUACAGGGUGACAGCCCCGUACACAAAAAUGCACAUACUGUGAGCUCGAUGAGUAGGGCGGGACACGUGGUAUCCUGUCUGAAUAUGGGGGGACCAUCCUCCAAGGCUAAAUACUCCUGACUGACCGAUAGUGAACCAGUACCGUGAGGGAAAGGCGAAAAGAACCCCGGCGAGGGGAGUGAAAAAGAACCUGAAACCGUGUACGUACAAGCAGUGGGAGCACGCUUAGGCGUGUGACUGCGUACCUUUUGUAUAAUGGGUCAGCGACUUAUAUUCUGUAGCAAGGUUAACCGAAUAGGGGAGCCGAAGGGAAACCGAGUCUUAACUGGGCGUUAAGUUGCAGGGUAUAGACCCGAAACCCGGUGAUCUAGCCAUGGGCAGGUUGAAGGUUGGGUAACACUAACUGGAGGACCGAACCGACUAAUGUUGAAAAAUUAGCGGAUGACUUGUGGCUGGGGGUGAAAGGCCAAUCAAACCGGGAGAUAGCUGGUUCUCCCCGAAAGCUAUUUAGGUAGCGCCUCGUGAAUUCAUCUCCGGGGGUAGAGCACUGUUUCGGCAAGGGGGUCAUCCCGACUUACCAACCCGAUGCAAACUGCGAAUACCGGAGAAUGUUAUCACGGGAGACACACGGCGGGUGCUAACGUCCGUUGUGAAGAGGGAAACAACCCAGACCGCCAGCUAAGGUCCCAAAGUCAUGGUUAAGUGGGAAACGAUGUGGGAAGGCCCAGACAGCCAGGAUGUUGGCUUAGAAGCAGCCAUCAUUUAAAGAAAGCGUAAUAGCUCACUGGUCGAGUCGGCCUGCGCGGAAGAUGUAACGGGGCUAAACCAUGCACCGAAGCUGCGGCAGCGACGCUUAUGCGUUGUUGGGUAGGGGAGCGUUCUGUAAGCCUGUGAAGGUGUGCUGUGAGGUAUGCUGGAGGUAUCAGAAGUGCGAAUGCUGACAUAAGUAACGAUAAAGCGGGUGAAAAGCCCGCUCGCCGGAAGACCAAGGGUUCCUGUCCAACGUUAAUCGGGGCAGGGUGAGUCGACCCCUAAGGCGAGGCCGAAAGGCGUAGUCGAUGGGAAACAGGUUAAUAUUCCUGUACUUGGUGUUACUGCGAAGGGGGGACGGAGAAGGCUAUGUUGGCCGGGCGACGGUUGUCCCGGUUUAAGCGUGUAGGCUGGUUUUCCAGGCAAAUCCGGAAAAUCAAGGCCGAGGCGUGAUGACGAGGCACUACGGUGCUGAAGCAACAAAUGCCCUGCUUCCAGGAAAAGCCUCUAAGCAUCAGGUAACAUCAAAUCGUACCCCAAACCGACACAGGUGGUCAGGUAGAGAAUACCAAGGCGCUUGAGAGAACUCGGGUGAAGGAACUAGGCAAAAUGGUGCCGUAACUUCGGGAGAAGGCACGCUGAUACGUAGGUGAAGCGACUUGCUCGUGGAGCUGAAAUCAGUCGAAGAUACCAGCUGGCUGCAACUGUUUAUUAAAAACACAGCACUGUGCAAACACGAAAGUGGACGUAUACGGUGUGACGCCUGCCCGGUGCCGGAAGGUUAAUUGAUGGGGUUAGCGCAAGCGAAGCUCUUGAUCGAAGCCCCGGUAAACGGCGGCCGUAACUAUAACGGUCCUAAGGUAGCGAAAUUCCUUGUCGGGUAAGUUCCGACCUGCACGAAUGGCGUAAUGAUGGCCAGGCUGUCUCCACCCGAGACUCAGUGAAAUUGAACUCGCUGUGAAGAUGCAGUGUACCCGCGGCAAGACGGAAAGACCCCGUGAACCUUUACUAUAGCUUGACACUGAACAUUGAGCCUUGAUGUGUAGGAUAGGUGGGAGGCUUUGAAGUGUGGACGCCAGUCUGCAUGGAGCCGACCUUGAAAUACCACCCUUUAAUGUUUGAUGUUCUAACGUGGACCCGUGAUCCGGGUUGCGGACAGUGUCUGGUGGGUAGUUUGACUGGGGCGGUCUCCUCCUAAAGAGUAACGGAGGAGCACGAAGGUUGGCUAAUCCUGGUCGGACAUCAGGAGGUUAGUGCAAUGGCAUAAGCCAGCUUGACUGCGAGCGUGACGGCGCGAGCAGGUGCGAAAGCAGGUCAUAGUGAUCCGGUGGUUCUGAAUGGAAGGGCCAUCGCUCAACGGAUAAAAGGUACUCCGGGGAUAACAGGCUGAUACCGCCCAAGAGUUCAUAUCGACGGCGGUGUUUGGCACCUCGAUGUCGGCUCAUCACAUCCUGGGGCUGAAGUAGGUCCCAAGGGUAUGGCUGUUCGCCAUUUAAAGUGGUACGCGAGCUGGGUUUAGAACGUCGUGAGACAGUUCGGUCCCUAUCUGCCGUGGGCGCUGGAGAACUGAGGGGGGCUGCUCCUAGUACGAGAGGACCGGAGUGGACGCAUCACUGGUGUUCGGGUUGUCAUGCCAAUGGCACUGCCCGGUAGCUAAAUGCGGAAGAGAUAAGUGCUGAAAGCAUCUAAGCACGAAACUUGCCCCGAGAUGAGUUCUCCCUGACCCUUUAAGGGUCCUGAAGGAACGUUGAAGACGACGACGUUGAUAGGCCGGGUGUGUAAGCGCAGCGAUGCGUUGAGCUAACCGGUACUAAUGAACCGUGAGGCUUAACCUU